UGGAAGGAAAAACAGGGCAGCCCUUUUCUCUUUCAUAAACGCUCCAUCUUCUCUCUUCUCCAAAAACUUUCAGGUUUUCAGAUUUGCAGCUCCGGCGGCUUCCGUAGCGUCGGAGCUGUGCUUUCAUGUUUGUAAAUCUUCUCAGUGUGGUUAUUUUAAGAUCCAUCUUGUAUCUGUUUUUUUUUCUUUUUUCUAUCUCAGUUGUAGCUAUCUUCUUGUGUUAAAGGUGUAAUUCUUUAGGCGUUGAGGAGACCCUUCAGUAGUCUCUAAGAUGUGGUGUGGUUUGAUUUCUUCGUCGCUGCGGAAGCUCGCUUGAUUGAUUUGACCAAAUCUGUAUUUUUUUUCUUGUGUACGGUUGCUGGUUGAUGCCGUCUCUGAUGUGGCUUGUUAAUUCUUCCAUCAGAUUUGGUCAAAUCUUUGUCGUUUGAGUUGUUUGUGGUUGGCGUUUUGGUCUGUAGUGCUCAUCUCUUUCUUAGGUUCCGGCCAUUUGAAGGAGCUCCUCUUUUGUAGUGUUGUGUCCUUACUAGAUUUCUUUAUGGUUUCGGAUUGUGUCUCCCCAUGGUUGGGGCUGUUGUUUCUGGGAAAAGGUGGUUCACAUAACACCAUUUUCGCCGGCUUUUGUCUCCAGGAAAAGGUGAUUCCUUUACACCGUCUUCGCUGGCGUAUCACCGGUUUUAUCCUAACCUUGGCGGUUCUAUGAUUCUCGCUGUCCUAUGAGCUAUCGCCUCUUGUUCUGAUUUCGGAGCCUAGGAUUCAAUCCUUCUUCUCCGGUUUGGCUUCGCUAAUGGCUGAGAUCCGACAUGUAUGCUCUCUGUCUUCGGAGGAAGCUCAUGUCUUCCGGUCUGACGGGUGUUUCACGUGGUGGGAAGAGCUGGUAUCUUCCUCAUUGUCUCAUGUAUGGGCUUUAGGCCUGGUUAAUUUGAAUGUUUUUUCUGGUUUGAGCUAUGUUUGGCCUUUGUGUUUGAUGUAAGUGUUGGGCUUUAAUCCUUUAAUAAAAUACCAGAUGACAAAAAAAAAAAAAGGAAAAACAGGGAAAGCAAAUGAGACUGAGCUUUCAAAACUAAAUAAAUAAUUUUAGGGGAAAGUGAAAUUGUUGUUGAGGACAAGCGUAUGAAGGAAGAUCUUCCAAAAGGACCAUCAGAAUCAACAAUUCUUAGCGUGGCUUCUAGUGCAAUCGCUAAUUUGGCAAUGAACGAGAAGAGUCAAGAUCUAAUAAUGAAUAAAGGAGGUGCUCAACUGCUAGCAAGGAAUGGUAGCUGGUGCACUUGCCAAUUUAUGCGGAAAAGGUGGGCACGAGAUUAAGAAUUUUGGUUCUAGUACUUUUCAGUAUCAGACAUUUUCAAGUAUAUCUACUCAUCUGCUGAACAAAUGCAUGUCUUCACUGUAAAUCAGCAUAUGCAAAAGCCAAUAUGGCAAUAUAUUUGAAGAAGCUU